CUUUGGUAAAAAUAUCGGUUUUCUUAUCGUAAGAGGAAGCUCAGAACCUAAAUAGUGGCUGCAGUACAUAACACCAGACCCUAUCAGAGUAUAAAAUCUUGCUGUGGUGGCAGUUCAGGUUAUGUUCCCUUCACGAGGAGCACUGAGCAGCACCCUGAGUUCAGCAGAGAGUCUGCAGAAAAGGGGUAUCCAGGUAUUAAUCAUUCAUCGCAAUGCUUCAUAAAAGAAAUCUCAGUGAAAACAAAAGCAGAAAACCCAACUAUUCUGAGAAGCACUUUAAAGUAGCACUAGUUUCAGCUACCAGGUAUUUGCACUAUCAAUCAAAAUAUAUUUAUUUAUCAGUUGGAUCAUAUAUUAAAGCACCAAGCUAUGCAGAAUAAGAGGCAGAAGAGAAAUAUUGAAAGUAUACAUAACAAAAAUACUAAAGCCUACACUUCCUGGAAAUAAUACAUAAAUGUCAUUUGCUGACAGAAAAACAGAUUGUUGUAAAAGGAACUCCAGAAAUGACCUGACAUCAGAAUCACAAUUUCCUGUGUCACAGCCUCCUGAAAUUAGGACCAGUGCAAUAGUCCAUGUUUUUGCUGAAAUGUCAUCUAGAAGAUUCACAGUUCCUCUGAAAGACUUAGAAAAAGUGACCUACAAAAACAGAUAAGAUCUGAACCGGAGAAAGGACACCUCACCCUUCAUGAACGGGUCACGUCUGGCAAGAGCAGCUGCAAAUGAGACUCUUCUUGAAAGCUACAGGGACAUGAUGGGCUCUAAGCAUUUUGAAGAAACUUCUGACCUUGAGCUAAGACAGGUAAGGGAGGACGUAUAUAUUCCUAGUUCAUGAAAACUGCACAUUCACAAUGGCUUGCUUAUCAUUUUACAAGCAGUAACUACAGUGUUCAUAGUCAUGUGAAUAAGGUCCUGUUUCAGCAAGACAUUUCAGUUUGUGUUUAACAUUUAAUAAGAACUCACGUGUUCUUUGAAGUGAAAGGUGGACUUCCAGGCCAGUUUUGCAGCAACCAAAAGUACUGCCUCCUUUGCUGAUGGAAGUAGCCUUUCAUAACCAUAGGAAAACUUCACAAAAAUUUGUGGUAUUAGAUCAGUAUUCCCAAUGCAGCAGAAAUUAAACGUGGCAAGAAUGGACCCUUUGGUGCAGGAAAACAACAAAAAAAAGCUAUCAGAAAAUUAGCACUGAUUGCACUCUUGGAUACACUUUUGAGAGAGGAAAAAAAAUAUAGAAGGCUUAAUCAAAAUGUACAGUGCAGGAAAAUGGCACCUGCCUCAAGGAACUUACCACUGAAGCUUUAAACAAGAGACAACAUAUACACUGAGGCAGAUAGGAAUCAAAGCUGCAUAUCAUCCCGAUGAGUAUAGUCUCUUUUGCGCACAGUUACAAUUUCCCCCAGGUAACAGGGCUACUUUAAAGAAAAAAAAAAAAGAAAUGUAUUGUGCCAAAAAAUCUUCCCCAUUCUCGUAGCAAAUUCUGAGUUAGCAUUGCACAUGACAUUGUUAAUUUAUUAGAUAUCAUCAAGAUUAGCUAUAUUUUACAGAUAUGAAGGUGUGUUCAGACUCGGUGCAAUGUUAUUGACCCCAGAGCUAAUACAGUUGCUUAAAUCAGGGCAGAACUGAUCAAGUACUGCUUUCCACUUGGACUUAAACCAGACAUCAUAAAGAUACGAAUUACACGAAACAUGAUUUUAGGCCUCUAUCUCCUACUGAUCAUCCUACAUGUAAUUAUUGUCUUCUUUCUAAAAGAGAUACAUAUAUAACCUGAUUUUUUUUUCUGGUAGCUUUUACCCAUGUGUAUCCUUUGGAAUACUCAAAUGAGCUUUUUAAUUUAUCAUGUCGAUCUAUGAAGAUUUAUAGAAACAAAUCCUAUAGAUAUGAGCAGAACAUAAUGGAGCAUCCCCCACUGUUUUUUCAACCAUUUUCUUUAAAUAUUUCCUUUAAUAAAAAAAAUUACAGUCCUCCUUCA
rnacentral:lncRNA from 1 species